UAUUUUUGUUUUCCCCCUACUUUUUAUAGCCCUCUUUGCCGUCCCUAAAAAUUACAAACUCGUAGCAGCACCCUUAUUUGAACUCUAUGACAACUCACAAGGUUAUGGCCCAAUAAUAUCAUCACUUCCACAGGCUUUAUGCAGGUUCAAUUUUAUUUACAUGUGAUGGAACGCCGGAUUUUUCGUAACAACUGAAUAGUUAAUCUUAAAUAAACCCAGAUUGAUCUUUAAACAUAUUGUAUGUUUUUAUUUAAUACAAUUCUAUUUAGACGACCUUAACCUGUAUUAAAUAAAUCGGAGUGUAUUCAUAAUA